GACGAACGCUGGCGGCGUGCCUAAUACAUGCAAGUAGAACGCUGAAGAGAGGAGCUUGCUCUUCUUGGAUGAGUUGCGAACGGGUGAGUAACGCGUAGGUAACCUGCCUUGUAGCGGGGGAUAACUAUUGGAAACGAUAGCUAAUACCGCAUAACAAUGGAUGACACAUGUCAUUUAUUUGAAAGGGGCAAUUGCUCCACUACAAGAUGGACCUGCGUUGUAUUAGCUAGUAGGUGAGGUAACGGCUCACCUAGGCGACGAUACAUAGCCGACCUGAGAGGGUGAUCGGCCACACUGGGACUGAGACACGGCCCAGACUCCUACGGGAGGCAGCAGUAGGGAAUCUUCGGCAAUGGGGGCAACCCUGACCGAGCAACGCCGAGUGAGUGAAGAAGGUUUUCGGAUCGUAAAGCUCUGUUGUAAGUCAAGAACGAGUGUGAGAGUGGAAAGUUCACACUGUGACGGUAGCUUACCAGAAAGGGACGGCUAACUACGUG
rnacentral:rRNA from 1 species